GCCAGACUCCUACGGGAGGCAGCAGUGGGGAAUAUUGCACAAUGGGGGAAACCCUGAUGCAGCGACGCCGCGUGGGUGAAGGAGCACCUCGGUGCGUAAAGCCCUAUCGGCAGGGAAGAAACAGACGGUACCUGACCAAGAAGCCCUGGCUAACUACGUGCCAGCAGCCGCGGUAAUACGUAGGGGGCGAGCGUUAUCCGGAAUUACUGGGUGUAAAGGGAGCGUAGACGGCGAAGUAAGCCUGAAGUGGAAGCCCGCGGCCCAACCGCGGAACUGCUUUGGGAACUGUUUUGCUGGAGUAUGGGAGGGGUAAGCGGAAUUCCUGGUGUAGCGGUGAAAUGCGUAGAUAUCAGGAGGAACACCGGUGGCGAAGGCGGCUUACUGGACCAUGACUGACGUUGAGGCUCGAAAGCGUGGGGAGCGAACAGGAUUAGAUACCCGUGUACA
rnacentral:rRNA from 1 species